UGAAUCAUCGAAUCUUUGAACGCACAUUGCGCCCCCUGGUAUUCCGGGGGGCAUGCCUGUUCGAGCGUCAUUACAACCCUCAAGCUCUGCUUGGUCUUGGGCGUCACCCCCCCGGGUGCGCCUUAAAAUCAGUGGCGGUGCCGUCUGGCUUCAAGCGUAGUAUUACUCCUCGCUUGGGAGCCCGGGCGUGCGUCUUGCCAAAACCCCAUACUUCUUUUAGGUUGACCUCGGAUCAGGUAGGGAUACCCGCUGAACUUAAGCAUAUCAAUAAGCGGAGGAAAAGAAACCAACAGGGAUUGCCUCAGUAACGGCGAGUGAAGCGGCAACAGCUCAAAUUUGAAAUCUGGCCCCCUCGGGGCCCGAGUUGUAAUUUGUAGAGGAUGUUUCGGGUGUGGCUCCGGUCUAAGUUCCUUGGAACAGGACGUCAUAGAGGGUGAGAAUCCCGUAUGUGACUGGCAGCCUACGCCCAUGUGAAGCUCCUUCGACGAGUCGAGUUGUUUGGGAAUGCAGCUCAAAAUGGGUGGUAAAUUUCAUCUAAAGCUAAAUAUUGGCCAGAGACCGAUAGCGCACAAGUAGAGUGAUCGAAAGAUGAAAAGCACUUUGGAAAGAGAGUUAAACAGUACGUGAAAUUGUUGAAAGGGAAGCGCUUGCAACCAGACUUGCGUGCGGCCGAUCAUCCGGUGUUCUCACCGGUGCACUCGGCCGUGCUCAGGCCAGCAUCGGUUUCGGCGGCUGGAUAAAGGCCAUGGGAAUGUAGC
rnacentral:rRNA from 1 species